rnacentral:rRNA from 1 species
UACGGAGGGUGCAAGCGUUGUCCGGAAUCACUGGGCGUAAAGCGCACGUAGGCGGAUCUUUAAGUCAGGGGUGAAAUCCCAAGGCUCAACCUUGGAACUGCCUUUGAUACUGGGGAUCUCGGAAGUCCGGAAGAGGUGAGUGGAACUGCGAGUGUAGAGGUGAAAAUUCGUAGAUAUUCGCAAGAACACCAGUGGCGAAGGCGGCUCACUGGUCCGGUAC